rnacentral:lncRNA from 1 species
GAAUAACUUCUGUUGCCAGCUCAUGUGUGCAGAGUGGCUCUAUGUCAAAGUCCACACUUUCCACACUCUGGGGGAGUAUCUCCCAGGGCAGAACUUAAACAGCAGCUACUAGUAUGGCAGCACGAGGUAUCUGACACUGGUCCUAGAGCUGCAUAUCCAUGAACAUCCUCAGCAUGCACUGGAUGUUCCAAAUUAUCUUCCACCUCUGCCAACACCAGAUGAACUGAAUUGCUCACAGAUUGGAACUGCUGACAUAAACCGUCAAUGUGAAUUCAACCACUGCACUUCAAUCAACUUCAGCAUGAGCCUGAUUAACUCAGAGCAUUGGCGGUCUGCACUAAACAACCCAUCAUCUGGCAGUCACUCACAGGUCGUCAACCACCAGAGCCACAUCCAGCCUGGCCUUGAAUGUCUCCAGCUAUGGGGCAUCCACAACCUCC